GGAGGUAGUGACAAUAAAUCACAAUGCGGGACUAUUUAGUUUUGCAAUUGGAUUGAGAACAAUGUACAAGAGUUAUCGAUAAACAAUUGGAGGGCAAGUCUGGUGCCAGCAGCCGCGGUAAUUCCAGCUCCAAUAGCGUAUAUUAACGUUGUUGCAGUUAAAAAGCUCGUAGUUGAAGUGUGGGGUGAAAGGUUUGUCUUUUGUUUUAAAGAUGUUCUGCUCACCCCCUCUCCAAUGUGUUGUUAUGGGUAUUAAUUUACUUGUAAUAGCUAUUGGUCAUUUACUGUGAGAAAAUUAGAGUGUUCAAAGCAGGCAUUUGCUUGAAUAUAUUAGCAUGGAAUAAUACUAAAAGGCUUUUAUGGUCGAUUUAAUUGGUUUGUUCAUGAAAGCAAGAUUAAAAGGGACAGUUGGGGGUAUUCAUAUUCAAUAGUUAGAGGUGAAAUUCUCGGAUUUAUGGAAGAUGAACAAGUGCGAAAGCA
rnacentral:rRNA from 1 species